AGAGUUUGAUCCUGGCUCAGGACGACGCUGGCGGCGCGCCUAACACAUGCAAGUCGAACGAGAGAGAAGGAGCUUGCUUCUUCGAUCGAGUGGCGAACGGGUGAGUAACGCGUGAGGAACCUGCCUCAAAGAGGGGGACAACAGUUGGAAACGACUGCUAAUACCGCAUAAGCCCACGGGUCGGCAUCGACCUGAGGGAAAAGGAGCAAUCCGCUUUGAGAUGGCCUCGCGUCCGAUUAGCUAGUUGGUGAGGUAACGGCCCACCAAGGCGACGAUCGGUAGCCGGACUGAGAGGUUGAACGGCCANAUUGGGACUGAGACACGGCCCAGACUCCUACGGGAGGCAGCA
rnacentral:rRNA from 1 species